rnacentral:rRNA from 1 species
GGGGAAUAUUGGGCAAUGGGCGCAAGCCUGACCCAGCAACGCCGCGUGAGGGAAGAAGGCUUUCGGGUUGUAAACCUCUGUCGCAGGGGACGAAACAAAUGACGGUACCCUGUGAGGAAGCCCCGGCUAACUACGUGCCAGCAGCCGCGGUAAUACGUAGGGGGCGAGCGUUGUCCGGAAUUACUGGGCGUAAAGGGUGCGUAGGUGGCUAUUUAAGUUGGAUGUGAAAUACCCGGGCUUAACCUGGGGGGUGCAUCCAAUACUGGUUGACUAGAGUACAGGAGAGGAAAGCGGAAUUCCUAGUGUAGCGGUGAAAUGCAUAGAUAUUAGGAGGAACAUCGGUGGCGAAGGCGGCUUUCUGGACUGACACUGACGCUGAGGCUCGAAAGCGUGGGGAGCAAACA